rnacentral:rRNA from 1 species
UACGGAGGGGGCAAGCGUUGUUCGGAUUUACUGGGCGUAAAGGGUCCGUAGGCGGUUGUGUAAGUCUGGUGUGAAAUCUUCGCCGCUUAACGGGAAGCAGCCACUGGAAACUGCAUAACUUGAGUCUGGUAGAGGCAAGCGGAAUUCCUGGUGUAGCGGUGGAAUGUGUAGAUAUCAGGAAGAACAUCUGUGGCGAAGGCGACUACCUGGACCAGCACUGACACUGAGGCACGAAAGCGUGGGGAGCAAACAGG